UACGUAGGGGGCGAGCGUUGUCCGAAGUUACUGGGCGUAAAGCGCGCGUAGGCGGGUUCUUAAGUGAGGGGUGAAAGGUUUGGGCUCAACCCAAACACUGCCUUUCAUACUGGGAGCCUUGAGUGCGGGAGAGGCGAGUGGAAUGGUCGGUGUAGCGGUGGAAUGCGUAGAGAUCGGGAAGAACAUCAGUGGCGAAGGCGGUCUGCUGGGCCGUUGCUGACGCUGAGGCGCGACAGCGUGGGGAGCAAACAGG
rnacentral:rRNA from 1 species